rnacentral:rRNA from 1 species
AACGCUGGCGGCGUGCCUAACAAAUGCGAGUCGAACGAGGAUGUGUCACCACUGCGGUCUUCGGACCAACGUACCGAUGCAUCCUAGUGGCGAACGGGUGAGUAACACGUGGGUAACGUGCCUCGGUGUCCGGGACAACGGCUGGAAACGGCCGCUAAUACCGAAUGGUCUGACUAGGUCGCUGGACCUGGUCAGUAAAGGCUUCGGCCGCACCGAGAUCGGCCCGCGGCUCAUUAGCUUGUUGGUGGGGUAACGGCUCACCAAGGCUGCGAUGGGUAGCCGGUCUGAGAGGAUGACCGGCCACACUGGGACUGAGACAUGGUCCAGACUCCUACGGGAGUUAGCAUUGGGGAAUCUUGCACAAUGGGCGAAAGCCCGAUGCAGCGACGCCGCGUGGGUGAUGAAGGCCUUAGGGUCGUAAAGCCCUGUCAGAGGUGAACGAAACCCCCCGGUGAGGGGGGCUGACGGUACCCUCAAAGGAAGCCCCGGCUAACUACGUGCCAGCAGCCGCGGUAACACGUAGGGGGCAAGCGUUGUCCGGAAUUACUGGGCGUAAAGAACGCGUAGGCGGCACGGUAAGCGGCGGGUGAAAUCCCGGGGCUCAACCCCGGAACUGCUCGCCGAACUGCCGAGCUUGAGUGCGGGAGAGGAGAGCGGAAUUCCUGGUGUAGCGGUGAAAUGCAUAGAUAUCAGGAGGAACACCCGUGGCGAAGGCUGCUCUCUGGAACGCAACUGACGCUGAGGCGCGAAAGCUGGGGGAGCGAACGGGAUUAGAUACCCCGGUAGUCCCAGCCGUAAACGAUGGUCACUAGGUGUUGGGAGCAUCGACCCCUCUCAGUGCUGUUAUGUUAACGCGCUAAGUGACCCGCCUGGGGAGUACGGUCGCAAGGCUGAAACUCAAAGGAAUUGACGGGGGCCCGCACAAGCGGUGGAGCAUGUGGGUCAAUGUGAUGCAACGCGGAGAACCUUACCAGGCCUUGACAUCCUCGGACCGCUUGGGAAACCAAGUCUUCUGGGCAACCAGACCGAGUGACAGGUGGUGCAUGGCUGUCGUCAGCUCGUGUCGUGAGAUGUUGGGUUAAGUCCCGCAACGAGCGCAACCCUCAUCAGGUGUUGCCAUCGGGCCUUCGGGUGCCGGGCACUCUCCUGAAACUGCCGGAGUAAUCCGGAGGAAGGUGGGGAUGACGCCAAGUCUGCAUCCCCCUUAUGGCCUGGGCUGCACACGUGCUACAAUGGCCGGUACAAAGGGUUGCGAUACCGCGAGGUGGAGCGAAUCCCACAAAGCCGGUCCCAGUUCGGAUCGGAGUCUGCAACUCGACUCCGUGAAGUUGGAAUCGCUAGUAACCGUGGAUCAUCAACGCCGCGGUGAAUACGUUCCCGGGCCUUGUACACACCGCCCGUCAAGUCACGAAAGCUGGUGUCACCCGAAGUCAAUGAGCUAACCUUCGGGAGGCAGUUGCCGAAGGUGAUGCCAGUGAUUGGGACUAAGUCGUAACAAGGUA